UACGAAGGGUGCAAGCGUUACUCGGAAUUACUGGGCGUAAAGCGUGCGUAGGUGGUUCGUUAAGUCUGAUGUGAAAGCCCUGGGCUCAACCUGGGAAUGGCAUUGGAAACUGGCGAUCUAGAGUGCGGUAGAGGGUAGUGGAAUUCCCGGUGUAGCAGUGAAAUGCGUAGAGAUCGGGAGGAACAUCUGUGGCGAAGGCGACUGCCUGGACCAGCACUGACACUGGAGGCACGAAAGCGUGGGGAGCAAACAGG
rnacentral:rRNA from 1 species